CGGAGCAGUGUUCUCCUCAGCACAGACCCAGGCGGGCCGGGGGCACCGCGAGGGCGGAGCUGCGUUCUGCUCAGCACAGACCCGGGGGACACCGCUAAGGCAGAGCAGCGUUCUCCUCAGCACAGACCUUUGGGGCACUGCCUCGCUUUGGGACAACUCGGGACCGCAUAGACGGGAUCAUGGCACAAGUUGCAGUUUCCACCCUGCCCAUGGAAGAUGAGGAGUCUGUUGAAGAUGAUUCCGUGGAGAGCAGGAUGGUGGUGACAUUUCUCAUAUCAGCUCUCGAGUCCACGGAUCAUGGCACAAGUUGCAGUUUCCACCCUGCCCAUUGAAGAUGAGGAGUCUGUUGAAGAUGAGGAGUCCUUGGAGAGCAGGAUGGUGGUGACAUUCCUGUCAGCUCUCGACUCCAUGGUCAGACCUUCUGUUCUCACAUUCUGUAGUUCAGUAGGACUGGGCGGUAGAUAAGGUUGAUUUGUUUUUGUAGAACUUACAAUUUUGUGAUUUUUAGUUCUAAUGAGUAGACCUUUUUCGUGAAUAGUAGUUACGGUCAAACACCUCUGACCAAAUGUGCAUGUGGAGUUUCUACACUGAUUUU
rnacentral:lncRNA from 1 species